AUGGUGAGUUCCAGCCCUGAACACCGCCAGUGUAGCCAAGGCUGAAGAAAAAAAAACAGGAAAAGAACAAAAAAGCCCUGUUGUGCAGACAAUUUGGUUCCCCCACCUCAGAUCACAAAAGGGAAUGCUAUGGGAGGGGUGCCUAAAGUCCUUAAGGCUCUAUUAUUUCAGAGCUGUGGUGAUUAAAUUAACCUGCUAGCUACUAUGUUGAAGUCUGUUUGAAACAAUGGGCUAGGAUGGUAUAAAAACCUCAGGUAUGUUGGAGACUGUCCUUUUCAACAGAAACGUUCUUCAAUGGCUGCUGCUGCUGGACUGUAGAAGGAGUGUGAUCUGUUUAGCAUGGAACCAAUAACUUUAAACUGCAUUUCACCACCAGGCCAAGUACGGUCAAAACAUGAGAGAUCCUUAGACCAGAGGAUAAACAAGCUCAAAACAAAAAAAGGAAAGACAGCUGAAAAGGAAAAAUCACCAGCAUCAGUGACUGAUGGAUGAAGCCCAGUAAAUAUAUUCUGCUUAUUGGUUUGGUUGUUUUAUGAGGUUUUGUAUUUUAAGUAAAUACAUAGGUGUAGGUGAGAAAGAUAGUAAAGUUGAGUUUUGUAAAAAAAAAAAAAUGUCCUCUCCCCCCGCCCCCCAUAGGCAUGGGCAACUUUUCUGACAAUGCUGUAGUUAGAGCUACAAGGACACCUCCUCCAGAACUGCCAAAGAACCAAGAAUCUGCUUUGAGACCUUUAACAAGGCAAAACAGCACAAGAGUGCAGAUGAAGCAUCAGGGCAGGCCAAACCUCAUAUAUAUCAAACCCAAGGACAAAACAAAAGACUCUGGUAAAAAACAACCACGCCACCGCAACUCCAGUUCCUCAACGGCCACUGCCACACCAAGCCCUGAGGAAACUGUGAGAAAAAACACCCACAUUCACAAACCCGGAGCAUGCGCUCUAGGGGUUGUGAAUAAAAAACCAAGGACUGACAAACCAUUCUCCCCAAACCAGAAGCUUGUCACAGCUCCCCCAUAUUCUAGUAUUUGGGAAGAAUUUGAUCCUUCAUUCAGAAAACUGAUGGACGCUGUAUCCUCGGGGGGUCUAAAAGAACAGCAUUCUAAAAAGGUUUGGGGAAAAUAUGAUGCUUUGUUCAGAACACUGGUGAACUCUGUAUCCUCAGGGGCCUAAAAGAAAGGAGGGCUGGAAAGGGUGGCUCUGAGCAGGUGUGACUAGUCGUGGAAAGGGGCCUGGGUAAAAGGGGCACCCUCCAGGGUACACAUCAGCUCAUGUGUAAACAAAAGGGGGGGGACAGCGCUUGGGGGAUAAAGAAGAUGGCUGCCAAAA